rnacentral:rRNA from 1 species
UUAAAAGCUCGUAGUUGAAUUUCGGGAUCAAUAUGUUGGUCGUGCCUUGGUACGUACUAAUUUAUUGGUUUCUUCCUUCUGACGAACCAUGAUGUCAUUAAUUUGGUGUCUUGGGGAAUCAGGACUGUUACUUUGAAAAAAUUAGAGUGUUUAAAGCAGGCUCACGCUUGAAUACAUUAGCAUGGAAUAAUGAAAUAGGAUGUCUGAUUCUAUUUUGUUGGUUUCUAGGAUCGACGUAAUGAUUAAUAGGGAUAGUUGGGGG